rnacentral:snoRNA from 10 species
AUCAAAAUGAGGAGGCUGUUUGUUCUGAAGUAUCUAAUGUGGAUACAUCCAUUCAUGGGUCUUCAAAGUUCUCUGAUUGCU